GCAUAGCUCAGUUGGUUAGAGCGUGGUGCUGAUAAAGGCAAGGUUGCAGGUUUGAUCCCUGCAUGGGGCAGCU